GUGUUCGCUUCAGCAGCAUGUAUACUAAAAUUGGAACGAUAUAGAGAAGAUAAGCAUGGCCCCUGCACAAGGAUGACACACAAAUUCAUGAAGCGUCCCAUAUUUUA
ensembl:snRNA U6 U6 spliceosomal RNA